UACGGGGGGGGCAAGCGUUGUUCGGAAUUACUGGGCGUAAAGGGUGCGUAGGCGGGUCUUUAAGUCAGGGGUGAAAUCCUGGAGCUCAACUCCAGAACUGCCUUUGAUACUGAAGAUCUUGAGUUCGGGAGAGGUGAGUGGAACUGCGAGUGUAGAGGUGAAAUUCGUAGAUAUUCGCAAGAACACCAGUGGCGAAGGCGGCUCACUGGCCCGAUACUGACGCUGAGGCACGAAAGCGUGGGGAGCAAACAGG
rnacentral:rRNA from 1 species